CAUAGGUUAAUGAGGCGAACCGGGGGAACUGAAACAUCUAAGUACCCCGAGGAAAAGAAAUCAACCGAGAUUCCCCCAGUAGCGGCGAGCGAACGGGGAGCAGCCCAGAGCCUGAAUCAGUGUGUGUGUUAGUGGAAGCGUCUGGAAAGGCGCGCGAUACAGGGUGACAGCCCCGUACACAAAAAUGCACAUGCUGUGAGCUCGAUGAGUAGGGCGGGACACGUGGUAUCCUGUCUGAAUAUGGGGGGACCAUCCUCCAAGGCUAAAUACUCCUGACUGACCGAUAGUGAACCAGUACCGUGAGGGAAAGGCGAAAAGAACCCCGGCGAGGGGAGUGAAAAAGAACCUGAAACCGUGUACGUACAAGCAGUGGGAGCACGCUUAGGCGUGUGACUGCGUACCUUUUGUAUAAUGGGUCAGCGACUUAUAUUCUGUAGCAAGGUUAACCGAAUAGGGGAGCCGAAGGGAAACCGAGUCUUAACUGGGCGUUAAGUUGCAGGGUAUAGACCCGAAACCCGGUGAUCUAGCCAUGGGCAGGUUGAAGGUUGGGUAACACUAACUGGAGGACCGAACCGACUAAUGUUGAAAAAUUAGCGGAUGACUUGUGGCUGGGGGUGAAAGGCCAAUCAAACCGGGAGAUAGCUGGUUCUCCCCGAAAGCUAUUUAGGUAGCGCCUCGUGAAUUCAUCUCCGGGGGUAGAGCACUGUUUCGGCAAGGGGGUCAUCCCGACUUACCAACCCGAUGCAAACUGCGAAUACCGGAGAAUGUUAUCACGGGAGACACACGGCGGGUGCUAACGUCCGUCGUGAAGAGGGAAACAACCCAGACCGCCAGCUAAGGUCCCAAAGUCAUGGUUAAGUGGGAAACGAUGUGGGAAGGCCCAGACAGCCAGGAUGUUGGCUUAGAAGCAGCCAUCAUUUAAAGAAAGCGUAAUAGCUCACUGGUCGAGUCGGCCUGCGCGGAAGAUGUAACGGGGCUAAACCAUGCACCGAAGCUGCGGCAGCGACGCUUAUGCGUUGUUGGGUAGGGGAGCGUUCUGUAAGCCUGUGAAGGUGUGCUGUGAGGCAUGCUGGAGGUAUCAGAAGUGCGAAUG
rnacentral:rRNA from 1 species